CAGGGAAUCUUCCGCAAUGGGCGAAAGCCUGACGGAGCAACGCCGCGUGAGUGAUGAAGGCCUUCGGAUCGUAAAACUCUGUUAUUAGGGAAGAACAAAUGUGUAAGUAACUAUGCACGUCUUGACGGUACCUAAUCAGAAAGCCACGGCUAACUACGUGCCAGCAGCCGCGGUAAUACGUAGGUGACAAGCGUUAUCCGGAAUUAUUGGGCGUAAAGCGCGCGUAGGCGGUUUUUUAAGUCUGAUGUGAAAGCCCACGGCCCAACCGUGGAGGGUCAUUGGAAACUUGAAAACUUGAGUGCAGAAGAGGAAAGUGGAAUUCCAUGUGUAGCGGUGAAAUGCGCAGAGAUAUGGAGGAACACCAGUGGCGAAGGCGACUUUCUGGUCUGUAACUGACGCUGAUGUGCGAAAGCGUGGGGAUCAAACAGG
rnacentral:rRNA from 1 species